GUCUUUUUGUUUUUUAUAUAAAGUCAGACCUGCCCAAUGAAUUUUAAAUGGCCGCAGUACUUUAACUGUGCAAAGGUAGCAUAAUAAUUUGUUUUUUAAUUGGAAACUAGUAUGAAUGGUCAUACGAGGGAUUGACUUUCUUUAUCUUACUUAAAUUAAUUUUAUUUUUCUGUGAAAAAGCAAAGAUUUCAUUAGUUGACGAUAAGACCCUUUAAAACUUUAUUCAUUAUAGAAGUAUAAUUUUGUUAGGUUUUAAUAGUGUACUUUUUUAAUGAGUUUUGUUGGGGCGACAGGUAAAUUUAUUUAACUUUAUUUUUGUUUUUCACUAAUUAGUGUUUAUUUGAUCCAGAUUUAGUUUUGAUUAUAAGUUUAAGUUACUUAAGGGAUAACAGCGUAA
rnacentral:rRNA from 1 species